AAGGAACGUCUACGAAAGCUACGUGAUGAAGAGUAGACUCUCUGCAUGACUAUACAGUCUAUUGUAACUUGAUCUGUUCAUCUAGGACAUCUUUUUGUUCUUCCUCUGUUUGGACCUUCAGAGCCACCAUACUGAAAGCAAACUCUAGACACACAACCGCCAAGACACCUAAUACACAUCCUUUCCUCAAGACGAAACUCAAAAGCCAUCUGGCCAUGAAUUUCACUUCACGUGGCUGUGUUCGGACCAGAGCUCAGGUAUGAGCUCAAAUUUCAGGUUCUCCGACCUUGCAAAAACAUGCUUGUACGUGGACCGGUGACGAUAAAUUGCCUCUAGGUGUAAUUGCAUGGUGCCCUGUGUUGGACCGAGUCUCACCCAGGGUGUAUUCCGACCUCACAUCCAGGGUUCACAGGAUUGGCUCUGGAAUGGAUCCACAUGACCCUGACCAGGGUAAAGUGUUUACUGAAAGAGCGGGUGAGAGAAUGGAACUGGUAGCUAAUAAAAAUGAUGCUAAACUGCAUAAUAUGAACAGGAUACAUAUUAUUGGUAUCUCCCAGUGACAUAAUGUCAAAACAUGCUUUUACCAAUUAAAGGGGGUAAAUAUACGUAUAAUUCACGCACAAGAAUGGCAACAUCGGGGGGCACAGUGGCUUAGUAGUUAACGUGUUUGCCUCGCACCUCCACCCUGUGUGCGUAGAGUUUGCAUGUUCUCUCUGUGCUUUGGGGGUUACUCCAGUUUCCUCCUCCAGUCCAAAGACAUGCGUUAUAGGCUGAUUGGCAUGUCUAAAUUGUCCAUAGUGUGUGAAUGUGUGUGCCCUGCGAUGGAUUGGCACCCCGACCAGGGUGCCCCCCACCUUGUGCCCCGAAUUCCCUGGGAUAAGCUCCAGGCUUCCCGGGACCCUGCGUAUGAUAAGCGCUAUGGAAGAUGGAUGGAAUGGCAACAUCGCAAAUCACUGAGCUUUUCCAUAGUCAACCAGGUGUUCAUCAUUCAGACUGGUAUUGCUUGGCCUGUUAGUAAUUCACAUAGCCUCAAGUCAAAGGUCAAGUGCAUCACACCUGUUUGUGUUUUAAUAGUAUUUGUAGUGUUUCAAGUCAAGUGGCUUUUAUUGUCAUUUCAGCCAUAUACAGCUGGUACAGUACACAGUGAAAGGAAACAACGUUCCUCCAGGACCACGGUGCUACAUAAAACACGACACUAACCACAUGAGACACCGAACUAAAUAAGACCUACACAUUCUAUAUAAAGUGCACGUGACAGUACAGUAACGAUUAAAACAGGACAAUGGGCACAGUAAGAGACAGCGUAGUGCUGACCAGUACACAGUUCUAGUGUGGACGUGUCAGAUAUAACAGGUAGUGCAAAAAAAGAAUAAGGAUAUAAUUUAAAAAAUGCUGUGAAUGUAAACAUAACAUACUAUUAUGUUGUAUUCAGCAGAUUAUCGUAUACCAUAUAUGGGCAUAGCAGUGAUUGCGGUAGCGGCCAGGUAAAGAGUAUAGAAGUGACAAGAAAUGAUAAGUGACAAGAUAUUUUUAUAAGUACUGUAGCAGCAAAAAUGCAGAUAGUCAGUACAGAAAUGUGUAAAUGUGUGUGUGUCAGUCCAGUCUCUGAGUAUUGAGGAGUCUGAUGGCUUGGGCGAAGAAGCUGUUACACAGUCUGGCCGUGAGGGCCUGAACGCAGGAGGGUAAAGAGUUUGUGCGAGGGGUGUACGGUGUCAUCCACAAUGCUGGUGGCUUUUAUUGCGUGCACAGCGUGUGGUGUAAAUGUCUAUGACGGAGGGAAGAAAGACCCCGAUUAUCUUCUCCACAGGCCUCAUUAUCCGCUGCAGGGUCUUGUGAUCUAAUACGGUGCAAUUUCCAAACCAGGCAGUGAUGCUGCUGCUCAGGAUGCUCUCACUAGUUCCUCUGUAGAAUGUUGUGAGGAUAAGUGGUGCGAGGGGUUCUUUAUCGCCCAUUUGUCCACUAUGUGGCUGAGAAAACUCCUUUUUAUCUUUUGUCUUUAUUGGAUUUAAAGUUGAUUCUGAACUAUAUACGUAUACGGAUAACUAACAUUAUGCGAAAUGAAAAUAAGGCACACUUAGUGAACACCAUCGGCUAGCUAACGUUAGCCUGUGAAGUUUUUUUUUUUGCUUUAAAUUAAAAAAAAAAAAAAUAGGACUGGUUAGCUAGUACGGUUACUUGUCUUCUGACUCUUCAUACAGUUGCAAUCAAAAUGAUUCAACCCGCAUAGCAAAUCAAGGUUAUUGUCAAAAUGUACAGACUUGCAGCUGUUUGCGACGAACAAAUCAAACAAAAGCAAUUGAAAUAGUUCAACACGACGAAUGCUUCAAGUUGUGCAUAGCAAAGCUGUUAGAAUUGCACAAUAAAUUGUAUCCAAUGAGUACUUUUUAAAGAAAGGCUAAAAAGCUUCAAUGAAAUAUUGCAAGAAAAUGAACCUGCUUUUUAACAGGGGCAUUAUAGCAUAGUAAUCGUUGCAAACAAAUACAUACAUUUUUGCUUGUAUUUGAUCAUGACUGGGCUCAACAAUUAAAAAUAAAUAAAUACACAAAUAAAUAAGGGUGAAUAUGACCCAUGGCUGGGUCGUAAUGAAUCAAUUUUGGGUCGUUAGAGCAAAAACAACACAUUAGGUUCUACACAUAACGCAACACUGUACGGUUAAACGAACCAUACGUGUGAUCUCUUCGAAAUUAUUGGCCCAGCAGUGGGUUAGAGAAAUGACUGAAAUUCUGAAUGACUGAAAUCCAGCAUGACGUAACGUGUAGAUUUUCUAUUCCCCACUCACGCAGACUGAAUUCCAGCUCGUGCGUUGUAUAAUGUGAUCCCACACUGCAUAAUAUAGCCCAAAUACCGUAUUUCGUAGUGUUCCUAGUUCUGUCGAGGCUUUGGAUCUACAUGACAAAAAACGUGGAUCGGAUUACGAACCUGUGUGCUUUAUCGCUCUGCUAAUUCAGCCGAGAUGAAUUCGAAUAUUAUGCUGAUAAUGAAUCUGCAUUGCCCCCUGGCUGUGUAUUCGAUGUGUACCGUCGUCACGUCAGACUCGGGACCCGGAGGGUUACAACGCUGCAGGAGAUCUGUUUUCUUUUCAAGCACAGCACAAUCGGCUCAUGUGGGUUGAAUCAGGAGUGUCAAAAGACGUAGAACGCGAACACUGCGGUGGCCCUCGAGGACAGACGUCUGAAAUCCCUUAUUUAACCCAAAGUAGGAUGUGGGUUGGUUGAGGGUGAUGCCUGCAUGGAUGGUGCCUGUCUGACCUCUGGCUAAACUGUUGUUUACUGUUCGGCUGAGGUUUAUAUGGUAAAAACAGUCUCAGACGCUGGCAAUGCGAUGCCUUCAGUUCAUUACCCAGUCUCAUUCGACUACUUUAUAUGGACUGGAUGGUGUGUGUGUGUUUGAAUAAGGGGUCUUAACUGGUGUUGGAGUGUUUUUUGGAACAUCAUGGGAAUGGCAGGCUGCUCCAUGUCUCAGCCCACACUAAUGUACUGCAUAUGGCCAGUGCUGGCAUGACCAAUGGCUCCUUGAAGGAUCCGACAAGCCAGAAUUUAAUUAGCACAGUUUAUUGGUUCUCCGCUGAGCGAAACACGAGAGCAGCUCUGGGAACACGGUAAUCAUAAGCAAGCGCAUGAUUUUACACUAACUUUCCAGGAAAUUAGGUAAUUUUCUAUUUGGCUGCCUUGUGUGCGCACGUGUAUACGUGUUGUGGUGGUGGUGGGGAUGGGGGUGGGUGGUUACAGGUGAUUUGUAUUAGAAUCCAAGAACAGAUUAUGGAAAUGACUACAAAUAAUAAAAUUUUUUUUUAAAAAACCCCACCACCAGGUCAAAGCAUGGAAUGCCAGUAUGCUACGCUUUAAAGGAAAAAUAACACUCCAGGAUGUGACAGGUAAAUGAAUAGUCCAAUUAAAUAUCUAUUAUAUUGUGGUCCGUAUGCAAAGGCUUACUCAACACGUAAUGUCGUUGGGGAAAACUCAGGAAACCAAAGGUAAUUGUGAUUUAUAUGAAGCCCUCCACGUGUAAUCGAAAUAUCAAACAUGACUGCGGAUUUUUAGCUGCCCAUGUUUACACCGCCGAAGUAAACCUUCAUAUGCAACCAGCUAAGACAACGCAGUCAACGCGUCGAUUCUUGUUCAUGAAACAGCAGCUCACAGUGCUCGCUCCAGAUUGUUUAUUGAUCCCUAACUGUACAAGGAAAACCCCUUCAGAUACAGUUGUGCCCAAAAGUUUGCAUACCCCUUGGAGAAUCUGCAAAAUCUUAACAAAAUAAGAGCAAUUUUUAUUUAUUUAAAAAUCCCAUAUUGUUUUUUUUUUUUAUUUAGUUCUGUCCUGAAUAAGAUAUUUCACAUAACAGAUGUUUACAUAUAGUCCACAAGACAAGAUAACAGCAGAACUGAUCAAAAUGAACCCGUUCAAAAGUUUACAUACCCUUGAUUGUUAAUCCUGUGUGUCGUUACCUGGAUGAUCCACGACUGUGUUUAUGUUUUGUGAGAGUUCUUCAUGAGCCCCUUGUUUGUCCUGAGCCCCUUAUCCUCCAGGUCCUGCACAUUCUUCGUUUUCCAGCAUAUUCUGCAUAUUUGACCCCUUUCCAGCAGCGACUAUAUGAUGUCGAGAUCCGUCUUUUCACACCGAGGACGACUGAGGGACUCGUACACGACUAUUACAUAAGACCAGAUGGUGGACAUCUGAACCUCCGGCCAAUUCUUCACCAAUCAGAGGAAAAACAUGCGAAGCUCCCAUAUCUAACUAGAAGCUGGUGGACAUCAUAACCAUGGACAGGCUGGAUGCCCCGCCCUACCGUCUUCUCCUCAUGAGCAUUACUAAGUCUACGCUGGGCAUCACAGUUCACGUUCUCAAUCAUCUUCCAGUUUUAACAUCGCCCCCUCCCAGUAGAAUGAAUGCGAUGGUCAUCUCUGAACAACUUACCAGUCAGUCCUAAAAGUGGGUCAGUUCCUCAUGCCAUCUCAGCAUCCCUGAUGAUAAAGCCAGGUGAAACAGAAUGAUAGUUACGUAUGUAGCUCUGGUUAUUUGUCUCCCAGAUAACCAUCAAGGUUCCUUGUCCUUUGGAACUUGUGCUGACCCGACAAGAACUCUGUGAGAAGAUUCGAGCAAAAGACAUUGUAAUGUAUGUAUGACAUUGUAAGUAUUAUUGCAAAUCUUGCAUUAUGUCACUCUUUGACUUUCUUACACUAUAUGGCCACCUGACCGUCACACCCGUAUGUGCUUGUUGAACAUCCCAUUCCUCCAUCCUUCUGGGAAGGCUUUCCACUAGAGUUUGGAGCGUGGCUGUGAGGAUUCGUGUCCAUUCAGCCACAAGAGCAUUAGUGAGCUUGGGGACUGAUUUUGUGCUGGAAGGCCUGGGGAGCGGUCGGCAAUCAUCAUCAGAGGGGUCGAGUUCUUCCACACCAACCUUGGCAAACCAUGCCUUCUCGAACCUGGCUUCACGCACAGGUGCAUCGUCAUGCUGGAACAGGUUAGCUCCAAUGAAAGGGAAAUUGUAAUGCUACAACAUUCCAAAAAUUUCUAAACAACUGGGUGUUGUCGGGGAAGAACCACAUAAGGGUCUGAUGGUCAUGUGUCCAUAAACCUUUGUCCAUUUGGCGUGUUUGCACGUGCACACGAAGGUAUCCAGGAUUCGUAGAACCACAACUAGCGGGUUAACACUGUUAAAAAUCAAGGCUUAAAAAAAAAAAACAUCCAAACAAACACAGCAUAGAGACAAAGCAAGUGAUAUCAAGACAUUCCAUCUUUAUUGCAGAGAGCGACUUCAGACCAAUUCAAUAUAAGCAAUAAAACACAUUUGUUUACUAGGUCGCUCGCACACGGUGCACACACAUCCCCUUUACAAUUGCACGCUCGAGAGCAAAUCCGUCUGCAAUCUAUAUUUCAAACACGUCUAUGCUCAUGUUCCCUGCCCGUUUGAUAGCGUUAAGAUGUCGGAUGAUAUUAUGAGGACUUAACACUACACUGGAAUUGUAUCAAUCCUGAUUUGGGAGUCCUGUAUAUGAUUAUUUGAGGAAUAUGGUCCUUGGGAGAUCAGCAUUUACUCUAUCGGAUCUCUUUCCAUCAUAUUCAAGCACGUAAACUCCUUUAUGAUGUCCCGUAAUAAAAUAAAAUAAAAUAAAAACCCUCUUCAAUGUUCUAUUGAAUAUAACUCUGUGCAAAUCACACCUCGUCUUUUCAGGCUUGUCGGGGCAACUUAACACAGCAAAUUCCUUCAUGUCUAAUAUACUCUAAAAUUCCUAACCUUGCAUAGUAUGGCUCAGCGAUGAGCACAGGCACAAACAAACUCCCUGUCACGCUGCGUUACAAAACCCUGCAUCAGACCCGUUCAGACCGG